AGGCCGUGUUCCGCGCCGCUGUGUGAGCUGCUGUGCUGCUACUGCUGCCGGUGAUUGUAGUUUAUUAUAGAGUUAAUAUUAGAGUUUAUAUACCAGUAUAGAGUUAUAUAUGAACCGCGGCUGGGGAGAGAGAGGGGCCCGGGCUGCGGGCGCGCUGUGCGGGGCGGAGAGUGCGGGAACAUUGCGUGUAGAAUGAAGAACAGCAGCUCUGUAUGGAAGUGUAUUGGCUGGCUGGAUUAGCGGUCGCUCCUACAUCCGGUGGGUGAGUUCAGCAGAAAAGCCAGUCAGGAGGUCCAGAGGGUGCCAGUUUUAAUGCCCAUCAAACAGCUGGCAUGCUUUACGCGGUCCUGUUGCCGUGCCCGUGAUCUGAGAGGUUACACAGUGAACACAGUGGACACGAGGUCCGGUGGUAUCUCCCCAGCACCAACCCGCUCCACCCCCUCCUGUACCUGCUAAACCCCGCUCUCCCUCACUGUAAUGCCUAGAGAGCGACCCAUGGGACAUCGGCGAGGUCCUGCCAGCGGGCCGUCCUGAAGCCGGGGGGCUUUCUCUAGCCCACCGAUGCCUGUGAUCCCGAUCCCGCGGCGGGUGCGCUCCUUCCACGGCCCCCACACCACCUGCAUGCACUCGGCGUGCGGCCCCGCCCGCACCUCGCAGCUGGUGCGCACCAA
rnacentral:lncRNA from 1 species